CCUACGGUGGGCAUCAGUGGGGAAUAUUGCACAAUGGGGGGAACCCUGAUGCAGCGACGCCGCGUGAGUGAAGAAGUAUUGCGGUAUGUAACGCUCUAUCAGCAGGGAAGAAAUGACGGUACCUGACUAAGAAGCCCCGGCUAACUACGGGCACGCAGCCGCGGUAAUACGUAGGGGGAAAGCGUUAUCCGGAUUUACUGGGUGUAAAGGUGGCGCAGAUGGCUGUGCAAGUCUGGAGUGAAAGGCGGGGGCCCAACCCCCGGACUGCUCUGGAAACUGUAAAGCUGGAGUGCAGGAGAGGGAAGCGGAAUUCCUAGUGUAGCGGUGAAAUGCGUAGAUAUUAGGAGGAACACCAGUGGCGAAGGCGGCUUACUGGACUGCAACUGACGUUGAGGCUCGAAAGCGUGGGGAGCAAACAGGAUUAGAUACCCGGGUAGUC
rnacentral:rRNA from 1 species